AGUCCUAUGGUCUAAUGGUUAUGACGCUCCGCUCACAUGACCUCACGUGAUUUAUCAUGUGAUACAUGUAGCUCCGUAGAGGUUCCCGGUUCGAUCCCGGGUGGGACUA